rnacentral:rRNA from 1 species
AUUGAACGCUGGCGGCAUGCCUUACACAUGCAAGUCGAACGGCAGCACGGGGCAACCUGGUGGCGAGUGGCGAACGGGUGAGUAAUGCAUCGGAACGUACCUUUCAGUGGGGGAUACCGUAGCGAAAGUUACGCUAAUACCGCAUAUUCUGUGAGCAGGAAAGCAGGGGAUUGCAAGACCUUACCCUGAGUGAGCGGCCGAUGUCAGAUUAGCUAGUUGGUGAGGUAAAGGCUCACCAAGGCGGCGAUCUGUAGCGGGUCUGAGAGGAUGAUCCGCCACACUGGAACUGAGACACGCUCCAGGCUCCUACGGGAGGCAGCAGUGGGGAAUUUUGGACAAUGGGGGCAACCCUGAUCCAGCCAUGCCGCGUGAGUGAAGAAGGCCUUCGGGUUGUAAAGCUCUUUCGGCCGGGAAGAAAUCGCACGGGCUAAUACCCUGUGUGGAUGACGGUACCGGAAUAAGAAGCACCGGCUAACUACGUGCCAGCAGCCGCCGUAAUAC